CUACAAAGAUGAGAUCUAGGAACUCUCUCUUUCUGAAGUUUCAGUGGAGAAAACCCUUUACCAGAUUCUGAGUAGC